GGGGAUGAAGGGAAUCGACGGAAUGCAUGCACUUUUAAAAAUGGGUAGGGCGGAUCUAUCCGUCAAAUAGAAAAACUUUAAUUGCUGACGAAAUGGAAGCGAUUGAAGCUUUUUACGGUAGGCAAAUGACUUUUGCGCAAGCAAGAGUUCCAGCUUACUACAACUAAGCUUCCUCUGAUUAAGUUUUCCUUGGUUCAACUUAACUUUAGAGAUAAACCAAUCAAGGUGAGAUGAAAUCCGUGUUUUACGAUUGACGGAUGAUUCAAAGAUAUAUCAAUCGUGAUCCAUUUGUCAUUUGUAUAUUUGGAAUUUGGAUUUUGAAUUAAAUAUACUAUCUCUACCUAAACCUUUUUAAAAUGGCCCUUCCGGACCCGGGUUCAACUCCCGGCAUCUCCACAC
rnacentral:tmRNA from 2 species